AAGUCUAGCUUUUGUACGUGUUAAAAUCAUCUGGAUUUCCAAUGCCGAUGCUUGGACAGAUGUUUAUCUAGUCGCAGUACGUGGGUUCAACGAGAGCACUAGGCAGUUGCUUUAUUGAGUUGAUCGAAAUUCUGAAUCUGCUGAAUAUAAUAUGUAUUCCAACAGCAGCAUAAGUAUAGAGGUUGGACUGCAUCUGCAUUGAAGUCAUCUCUUGGGAGUUUGCUAAGAGAAAAUGUGCAAGCUUAAGAGAGAUGGGUCUCCCUUCUUGAUCCCUUGUAAAAUCCAAAGAUUUUAGUUUUUGGCUUGAUCGUAGGAAAAUAAAAUUUGGUGGUGGUUCUUAUGUUACUUCUUAAGCGGCGGAGAUCACCUAUGCCAAAACUUGGAUGCGCCGUCUCCAUCUACCGAUGUAAACCUGAGUUCGGACUUCUUCUAUUUACUCUGCAAACUUUUUUUAUCUUUUCAUCGUUACCAAAUUCGAAAAUAAAAUAGAUUAAAAUGGAAAGCCACUUCAAUUCUUACCAUUUACGAUGUGCUGCUAGAUGGUUCCUUAGAUAGAUCAGAAGAUUCACUCUUUUCUUGUUUAUCCUUUGAUGAGAUCUUAAAGUUCGUCUUGAUUACAAGAUCAGAAAUCAGCGUACACAGAUGCAAGUCUGGUAUAAUAGGUUACUUAAAUCAUAAAAUUCGAAGGUUUCAUUCGGUUUUGAUAUUAAAAAAACAAAAAGAAACAUAGAAGAUCGUUCUUUAAAAAGAGGUUCGUCCCAACCCGAUAGUUAAAUAUAGGGUGAAUUUAGUGUGAGUCUGAGUUUACUGACUCGGUUUAUUUUCUCUAUCGGGAUGAUCUAUGGGAUUUAGCCCGUGUGAUAUAAAUCAUUUUUGCAAUGAAUAUGAGAAAUUAA